CAGCCGCCGCGGUAAUACUAGGGGUGCAAGCGUUGUCCGGAAUCACUGGGCGUAAAGGACGCGUAGGCUGGUUGGUAAGUCAGAUGUGAAAUCCUACAGCUCAACUGUAGAACUGCAUUUGAAACUACCAACCUAGAGUAUGGGAGGGGGAGAUGGAAUUAGUGGUGUAGGGGUAAAAUCCGUAGAUAUCACUAGGAAUACCGAAAGCGAAGGCGAUCUCCUGGAACAUUACUGACGCUGAGGCGUGAAAGCGUGGGGAGCAAACGGGAUUAGAUACCCCGGUAGUCCACGCCCUAAACGAUGAACACUAGUCGUCGGGAUGCUUGUCAUCUCGGUGAUGCACUUAACAGAUUAAGUGUUCCGCCUGGGGAGUACGGUCGCAAGGUUGAAACUCAAAGGAAUUGACGGGGGCCCGCACAAGCGGUGGAGCAUGUGGUUUAAUUCGAUGCAACGCGAAGAACCUUACCAGCCCUUGACAUCCUGGGAACUUACUAGAGAUAGUUUGGUGCCUUCGGGAAUCCAGUGACAGGUGCUGCAUGGCUGUCGUCAGCUCGUGUCGUGAGAUGCUGGGUUAAGUCCCGUAACGAGCGCAACCCUUGUCCUUAUUUGCCAUCAUUAAGUUGGGCACUCUAGGGAGACUGCCGUGACAAACCGGAGGAAGGUGGGGACGACGUCAAGUCAUCAUGGUCCUUAUGGCUUGGGCUACACACGUGCUACAAUGGGGCGUACAGAGAGUUGCGAUACCGCGAGGUGGAGCUAAUCUCAUAAAGCGUCUCUCAGUUCGGAUAGAACUCUGCAACUCGAGUUCUUGAAGCUGGAAUCACUAGUAAUCGUAGAUCAGCAAUGCUACGGUGAAUACGUUCCCGGGUCUUGUACUCACCGCCCGUCACACCAUGGGAGUUGAUUUCACCCGAAAUCGGGAAGCGAACCUUCGGGGCGCUACCGCUUACGGUGGAAUUAGCGACUGGGGUGAAGUCGUAACAAGGUAACCGUA
rnacentral:rRNA from 1 species